GUCGGCAUGGCGGAAUUGGCAGACGCACAUGACUCAAAAUCAUGCGGGAAACCGUGAGGGUUCGAUUCCCUCUGCCGGCACCA
rnacentral:tRNA from 1 species